rnacentral:rRNA from 1 species
GGGGAAUCUUGGACAAUGGGCGCAAGCCUGAUCCAGCCAUGCCGCGUGGAUGAUGAAGGCCCUAGGGUUGUAAAAUCCUUUCGUUGGGGACGAUAAUGACGGUACCCAAAGAAGAAGCUCCGGCUAACUCGUGCCAGCAGCCGCGGUAAUACGAAGGGGCGUAGCGUUGUUCGGAUUACUGGGCGUAAAGCGCGUGUAGGCGGGUCGUUAAGUUGGGGUGGAAAUCCCGAGGCUCAACCUCGGAACUGCCUUCAAAACUAGGCGACCUGGACUCAAGUAGAGGCAAGUGGAAUUGCGAGUGUAGAGGUGAAAUUCGUAGAUAUUCGCAGGAACACCAGUGGCGAAGGCGACUUGCUGGACUUGUAGUGACGCUGAGACGCGAAAGCGUGGGGAGCAAACAG